rnacentral:tRNA from 1 species
GGGAGAUUAAUGAUAACUGGAAAUCGCCUAGACUCCAAAUCUACGGUACGAGGGUUCGAUUCCUUCAUCUCCUG